CACUGACAGCUGAUCCCUUUGACCCUUUCAUAAUGCUUUGAACCCCAGCAGAAGGUUAGUUCCCUUGAAAACUGCCUUUUUAUGCAUACUCUGUCCCAAACUUCCAAAGCCUCCAGUCCCCCAGCCGAGACCUGGUCUGCAGAGGAGAAGCUUCAAGCAAAUGGGCAGCCAGAUGUAUCAAGCAACUGCUUUGUGCUACUCCCUGUUGUUGAGGGAUGCUCUGAUUUACUGUUUAGUCUUGUUGGAAACUGAGGAUGUUGGUGGAGACUUCCUCCCUCCCCAGACACGAACACCCAAAGGCACGACGGGUUUUUACUAAGCCUUAAAGAGUGGCUCAAUAUAGGGAAUUCUCUCACAACUCCUGUGUGACUCCAUGAAAUCAGCCCUGCCAACUUUCUGAAGCCUGAAAACAGCUAAAGACAGGAUUCCAAACAGUUAACUUCAAAUAGCUCAUUUUCUCUCAGCUCUCCACAAAUUCCUGUCAUGUUGCAUUACAUGUAAACAACUCAGAAACUUAAUGACAUGCCUUUCAGUCAAAAACUGAUAUGGCUUUUCAGUCUGAGCAGAUUAAUUGCAGUUUGUAACAAUAUGAAGUGUUGCAGUCUGAUUAGAGUUUCUAUUGCUUUUGGGGAUAAAAUAUUUUAUGUGAAUGUAAAGCCAAGUUUUUUGCUGGCAUGACUUUAUUGACUUCUGCAG
rnacentral:lncRNA from 1 species